UUUCCUUAUAUGCUAUGU
rnacentral:sRNA from 1 species